UGCCCUUGUAGCCCAACUGGAAGAGGUGCUUCGCUUAGAACGAAGAGGUUGCUGGUUCAAAUCCAGUCAGGGGCAU
rnacentral:tRNA from 1 species